AUUACCACCAUAUCAUGAUUCAUCAGCUCUAACAUGUGUGAGCCAACACUAUGCUUCUCCACUUCAGUACAUGGAUAUGACUCUUCUAUGUUUAAGCCACGACAACUUGGUGUAUUUAUGCCAAAGAUUUUUCGAGCACUAACACACCAAACCAACGCCUAUGGAGUGCUUUUGUAUACAACAAUCACCUGCUUCUUGCACCAUCCAUGGAUAAUCUACGUAGUUACAUAUUACUAUACUGAACAUCCUUUCAUAGACUACUUGUACACUGCCUUUUUAGAACCAUUGUAAAACCUCAUACGGUACGUCAGCGCCUUUGAAACAGA
rnacentral:lncRNA from 7 species